rnacentral:rRNA from 1 species
CCUACGGGGGGCAGCAGUGGGGAAUAUUGGACAAUGGGGGCAACCCUGAUCCAGCCAUGCCGCGUGUGUGAAGAAGGCCCUCGGGUUGUAAAGCACUUUCAGUGAGGAAGAACGCCUGGUGGUUAAUACCCAUCAGGAAAGACAUCACUCACAGAAGAAGCACCGGCUAACUCCGUGCCAGCAGCCGCGGUAAUACGGAGGGUGCGAGCGUUAAUCGGAAUUACUGGGCGUAAAGCGCGCGUAGGUGGCUUGAUAAGCCGGUUGUGAAAGCCCCGGGCUCAACCUGGGAACGGCAUCCGGAACUGUCAAGCUAGAGUGCAGGAGAGGAAGGUAGAAUUCCCGGUGUAGCGGUGAAAUGCGUAGAGAUCGGGAGGAAUACCAGUGGCGAAGGCGGCCUUCUGGACUGACACUGACACUGAGGUGCGAAAGCGUGGGUAGGAAACAGGAUUAGAUACCCGUGUAGUC